AUCAUCAAAUGAGUGAUUGGAUGUAUAUCAUUUGCCUCAUUAAAAUCCUUGUCAAGAAAACCCAUUGGGACAAAACUUGACAAGGGGAAAGGAGUACAAAUAAGACACAUGCCCAUGUGAUGAUCAU
rnacentral:sRNA from 1 species